UGGCGUCUGUAGUCAAGCAGAGCAGAGCAAAAGAAAAGAAAAACAAACAAUAAAUUCCAUGUGACGUAUAAAAAGCAUAAAGCAACCUGCUAAUGCGCAGCAGAUGCGUCACAAUUAGCCACACAGCAUCAACAAAUAUAGCAAACAGGUCAUGCCAGCUUCCACUUCUAGGCUGAUCUUUAGCAGCGGAGGCAAAUAUUGCAUCAGUAUUCAUCAUGAGUCAUCUGAGAUUAUAUCGCUUCUUCAGCUAAAAGUGUCCCACGCCAAACAGCCUCGGUUGGAUAUUAUUUAGCAGAGAUAACAUAUUAGCUUUACAUGUCUAUAUGUAUAUUUAAUGUUAAAUAAGGCCUGUACAUACCAUUAUUUAUUAAAUACAUAUUGUAUAUAGUUCUAAUGUAGAUUUAAAUCCACACAAACUAUGUAAAUUUAAAGGCAAUAAAUAGUGUUUGUCAAUAA